rnacentral:rRNA from 1 species
CAGUAGCCGCGGUAAUACGUAGGGUGCGAGCGUUAAUCGGAAUUACUGGGCGUAAAGCGUGCGCAGGCGGUUUGUUAAGACAGAUGUGAAAUCCCCGGGCUCAACCUGGGAACUGCAUUUGUGACUGGCAAGCUAGAGUAUGGCAGAGGGGGGUGGAAUUCCGCGUGUAGCAGUGAAAUGCGUAGAUAUGCGGAGGAACACCGAUGGCGAAGGCAUCCCCCUGGGCCAAUACUGACGCUCAUGCACGAAAGCGUGGGGAGCAAACAGGAUUAGAUACCCCGGUAGUCCCUGUCUCUUAUAA